CCCUAGCUGGUGCAAUUGGUUAGCACGUCGCCUUAUUUCGGCGAAUGUUGCUGGCUCAAAUCCAGCACUGGGGG
rnacentral:tRNA from 1 species